AUAAGCUAAUCACACAUCUAUAAUGAUUAUAGUAUCAGAUUUUUAUUAAACAUAUAUUACAGACAUGAUUGGCAUACACAAAUAAAUUAAAAUAGGUUAAAAACACCAACACAGUAGUGGUGACCACAUGGCAGGAUAAACGCAAUAAAGUGCAAGUGCAAAAACUUUUUUUAGGGAGGUACUAUAAAGUGCAGAUUCAAGAGUACAUAAAUAAGUAUUAUACACACAGCCUAAUGGUAUGGCUAUAAAUAGUACAGAUCAAAUAACAUG